UACGGGGGGGGCAAGCGUUGUUCGGAAUUACUGGGCGUAAAGGGCUCGUAGGCGGCCAACUAAGUCGGACGUGAAAUCCCCAGGCUCAACCCGGGAACUGCGUCCGAUACUGGCAGGCUUGAAUCCGGGAGAGGGAUGUGGAAUUCCAGGUGUAGCGGUGAAAUGCGUAGAUAUCUGGAGGAACACCGGUGGCGAAGGCGGCAUCCUGGACCGGCAUUGACGCUGAGGCGCGAAAGCCAGGGGAGCAAACGGG
rnacentral:rRNA from 1 species